GAUGGUCCUUAUGGAUGCUGACGCAAUGUGAUUUAUGUCCAGUGCUCUAAAUUUUAAAGUGAAUAAUUCCAACCAAGCAUGGGUAAACAGCGGGAGUAACUAUGACUCUCUUAAGGUAUCCAAAUGCCUCGCCAUCUAAUUAAUGAUUCACAUGAAUGGAUUAACUAGAUUCCCACUAUCCCUAUCUACUAUCUAGAGAAACCACAACCAAGGGAAUGGGCUUGGCAUAAUCAAUAGGGAAAGAAUACCUUUUUGAGAUUGACUGUAGUCCGAAUUUGUGAAAUGAAUUAAGAGUUAUAGAAUAAGUGGGAAUCGUUUUCGGCACAAAUGAAAUACCACUACUUUUAACAUUAUUUUACUUAUAAUUUUGUGGCGUGAAGACGAGGCAGUUACCCUAUUUUUGGCCUUAAGUCAUGUUUCGAUGGGUCGAUCUGGGUGGAAGACAUUUCCAGGUGGGGAUUUUGGAUGGGGAAACACAUAUAUUAAAAGAUAACAUAAAAUAUAAUUGGUGUAGAUAGAACAUUUGUAUUUGGGAGAACCUAGUGCACAACCACACUUAUUACCUGUCCCUCCUAAUUUGUAGU
rnacentral:ncRNA from 1 species